ensembl:lncRNA
UUUUCUAUUUGCUGAUCUUGUGCCGUCAACAGUUUUAUGCACUCAAGACCUUUUUAAAUGCCUGGAAAGUAAGCCAAAGGGGGGAAAAGAAGUCUUUUUUUUAAGAACAUUAUUCCACAAGUGACAGAUAAGGAUGCCAAAACCUUGAUCUCUGGUGUGAUCCCACCUCUUGCAUUUUAAACAAGCUUUAGAUUAAAGAAGCUGGAACAUUACAUUGAAGCCUUUGCUGGAACUUCCACCUCUUUAACUAAAAUAUACAUGACAGGUGGGGGAAUUCUAGUGAAAUGCUUUGACCUCUAGAAAUUGAUAUGGGUUGAAAUGGCUACACAACAGCUUCUCAGACAGGGACCUAAAUCUGUCAGAGGAAAAGAUCUGCAGUCUUAAGUUUUUGAUUAGUAAGUGUGAAAAAAAAAAAAAGAACUUCCAAACUUUUCUGGAAAGAAGCCAAUAAUAUGAUUAAAAAAAAAAAAAAAGCGAUAACAAGAUAUAUGUUAGUUAUACAACAGUAUAAAGGAAUAUUUCUUAUGUGGUGCAGAAUCUCCCUUUCUUUCCAUUCUCUACAUUUUUAUUCAGUUUGAUUUUCUUCUAUUGUGAUCCCACGAAUCGCAGUCUGUUUAUACAGUGAAAACAAAAAUCUCCCUACCGUUCACUUCCCUCCUGCCCAACCCCGUGACAGAUGAGAAAUUGAACAAUUGAUAUUUCUGACAGGAACACAAUUAAAUCCUGUGGCCACUGUCAAAAAAAAAAAAAAAAAAGCUACACAUGAAGAAUGGGAAUGUGUGUUUGUUUAUGUCCAUGAGAUUCAGCCACAAAUCUAUACACAAGGGGUUUUGGUGCAACUGUGUGCAGUCAGUCAACAUUUAGGCAUUUGUCUAUGUAGCGAGUCCAAUCACAUGAUAACUUACAUUGUAUCUAUCCAAACAUAUUCAGCACUACUACGCUUGUAUUUUAUUAUGGCAGACAGAGACAAAGAAAUAAAGCAUGACAUAAACAUAAGCUGAGAAAAGAGUGUGCAGAAAAAAGCAAAGACUGAGUGGGACAGGCGAGCCGAGAGAGGGGGAAAUAGUAAGUGAAAGAAAAGAGACUGAGACCAGAGACAAGCUGCC